UUGACCCAAUUUGAAGGGCAAAAGAUUUGGCAUAACGAUGAUACCCCUAAUUCCCUCCUUUAGUCGUUACAGUGACCGUUAACGGUCGGACGCCGGGGGUCAUCUCCAUACAGACGCCAUCGCAUAUAUGCAGAGAUGUAUAUACAUUUAGUACAAUCUUGAACUCUUUCUAAGUCGUAUCAAAUUUGGCGCGUGGCUCGACCAACAAAGAAGACGGAAGAAUCAAGAAACAGCGGCGGCGGCGAUAUUUGGAUGAGCUUAAAGGCGGUGUUUUCCCCCUGAUUGAUGAUGGAGUCGUCGUCGUUGUGGAUGGCCAUUAGCCGGCUAGCUGAAAUCGAAGCUCGGCUUAAUACUUCCAAGGAGAUUUCAAGGGAGGAGUGGGAGAAAAAGCUCAAUGAUGUCAAGAUUAGGAAAGAAGAUAUGAACAAAUUGGUGAUGAACUUUCUUGUCACUGAGGGUUAUGCUGAUUGUGCUGAAAAAUUCAGAAUGGAGUCUGGAACUGAAUUAGACACAGAUAUUGCAACUGUAAGAGAUCGUAUGGCUGUUAAGAAGGCAGUGGAGAGUGGUAAUGUUGAGUUUGCAAUUCAAAAAGUUAAUGAUUUGCACCCCAAGAUACUGGAUGCAAAUCCCAAACUGUUUUUCCAUCUCCAACAGCAAAGGUUGAUAGAGUUGAUACGGGAUGGAAACCUAGAAGAGGCGUUAAAGUUUGCGCAAGAGGAGCUUGCACCAAGGGGGGAAGAAAAUAAAAGCUUUUUAGAAGAGUUGGAGAAGACUCUUGCAUUGCUAGCUUUUGAAGAUGUCAGUAAUUGCCCCGUUAGAGAUCUCAUGGGCAUAUCGCAACGCCAGAAGACAGCAAGUGAGGUUUAUGCAGCUAUCCUUGCCAGCCAAGGUCAUGAAAAAGAUAGGUAAUAGAACUCAAACUCAAAGCACUUUUCUGGACGAAUGCAGACUUGCAUGUCCCCAAAGGGACAUCCUAUCCUCUUUCAAUGGAGUGUUUUGAUUCAUUGGACAAUAAAUUUACCUUCUUGUUCGGAAGACUUUGUAGUUGAGCAAAAAAGCGUGUGCCAAUUGAAACAGAAUCCAAAGCUCCCAAGCUUGUUGAAGAUGCUGAUAUGUGCCCAGGACCAACUUGAUAAGAAAAUUGCUUAUCCUCGCAUAAAGGAGUUUUCUUCUUCCUUGCCUGAUGAUCCAGCUGUCUGAAAGGUGACAAAGUUGUUUGAUUGGAUGAUCCUGGUUGGAGCAUAACAAAAUUACAUAGAAAUGGACUGAACAAAGUGGGCGGAAUCAUGUACUCUUAUUUCAGAGGAAACUGUAAGCUAGGCAUGUAGUCGUUCAUGUAUGUCAUUUUGAUACUAUUGAUAUGUCAGCAUGUUGCUCUCCUCUCAAAGGCUGUUCAUGUUAUGAAAUUUAUUUACAUAUUUCAAAUGUUUUAUA